AUCAAAGUGAGCAAAGCACGAGGUAACGACCAUCUACAUCACAAGCAUGAGGUGAGGAGACAGUUCAGAUGUGUUUACAAGCAUGAGGUGAGGAGACAGUUCAGAUGUGUUUACAAGCAUGAGGUGAGGAGACAGUUCAGAUGUGUUUACAAGCAUGAGGUGAGGAGACAGUUCAGAUGUGUUUACAAGCAUGAGGUGAGGAGACAGUUCAGAUGUGUUUACAAGCAUGAGGUGAGGAGACAGUUCAGAUGUGUUUACAAGCAUGAGGUGAGGAGACAGUUCAGAUGUGUUUACAAGCAUGAGGUGAGGAGACAGUUCAGAUGUGUUUACAAGCAUGAGGUGAGGAGACAGUUCAGAUGUGUUUACAAGCAUGAGGUGAGGAGACAGUUCAGAUGUGUUUACAAGCAUGAGGUGAGGAGACAGUUCAGAUGUGUUUACAAGCAUGAGGUGAGGAGACAGUUCAGAUGUGUUUACAAGCAUGAGGUGAGGAGACAGUUCAGAUGUGUUUACAAGCAUGAGGUGAGGAGACAGUUCAGAUGUGUUUACAAGCAUGAGGUGAGGAGACAGUUCAGAUGUGUUUACAAGCAUGAGGUGAGGAGACAGUUCAGAUGUGUUUACAAGCAUGAGGUGAGGAGACAGUUCAGAUGUGUUUACAAGCAUGAGGUGAGGAGACAGUUCAGAUGUGUUUACAAGCAUGAGGUGAGGAGACAGUUCAGAUGUGUUUACAAGCAUGAGGUGAGGAGACAGUUCAGAUGUGUUUACAAGCAUGAGGUGAGGAGACAGUUCAGAUGUGUUUACAAGCAUGAGGUGAGGAGACAGUUCAGAUGUGUUUACAAGCAUGAGGUGAGGAGACAGUUCAGAUGUGUUUACAAGCAUGAGGUGAGGAGACAGUUCAGAUGUGUUUACAAGCAUGAGGUGAGGAGACAGUUCAGAUGUGUUUACAAGCAUGAGGUGAGGAGACAGUUCAGAUGUGUUUACAAGCAUGAGGUGAGGAGACAGUUCAGAUGUGUUUACAAGCAUGAGGUGAGGAGACAGUUCAGAUGUGUUUACAAGCAUGAGGUGAGGAGACAGUUCAGAUGUGUUUACAAGCAUGAGGUGAGGAGACAGUUCAGAUGUGUUUACAAGCAUGAGGUGAGGAGACAGUUCAGAUGUGUUUACAAGCAUGAGGUGAGGAGACAGUUCAGAUGUGUUUACAAGCAUGAGGUGAGGAGACAGUUCAGAUGUGUUUACAAGCAUGAGGUGAGGAGACAGUUCAGAUGUGUUUACAAGCAUGAGGUGAGGAGACAGUUCAGAUGUGUUUACAAGCUAAACAAUAUCAAUAACAGGUGAACAUAUAUAUUAAGUUGUUGAUGAGGAUUAAUGCCACUAAAAUGGAACUAAAUCAGGUCAGAUUAGAUUUAAUGAAAAGUAUUUU
rnacentral:lncRNA from 1 species